rnacentral:rRNA from 1 species
AAAUUGAAGAGUUUGAUCAUGGCUCAGAUUGAACGCUGGCGGCAGGCCUAACACAUGCAAGUCGAACGGUAACAGGAAGCAGCUUGCUGCUUUGCUGACGAGUGGCGGACGGGUGAGUAAUGUCUGGGAAACUGCCUGAUGGAGGGGGAUAACUACUGGAAACGGUGGCUAAUACCGCAUAACGUCGCAAGACCAAAGAGGGGGACCUUCGGGCCUCUUGCCAUCAGAUGUGCCCAGAUGGGAUUAGCUUGUUGGUGAGGUAACGGCUCACCAAGGCGACGAUCCCUAGCUGGUCUGAGAGGAUGACCAGCCACACUGGAACUGAGACACGGUCCAGACUCCUACGGGAGGCAGCAGUGGGGAAUAUUGCACAAUGGGCGCAAGCCUGAUGCAGCCAUGCCGCGUGUAUGAAGAAGGCCUUAGGGUUGUAAAGUACUUUCAGCGGGGAGGAAGGUGUUGCGGUUAAUAACCGCAGCAAUUGACGUUACCCGCAGAAGAAGCACC